rnacentral:lncRNA from 1 species
CCUUAUAUGGUUUGGACAAUCCUAACCUCAUAAGCUAGCUUUUGAGGUUGAGUUAGGCCCAAGGUCUAUUCUUAUCAUGGUAUCAGAGCCAGGCCCAUCCCAAUUAUUGUUACCGAUGUUGGGCCCCCAUUUAUGUUGUCCACGCUCCAGAAAUCUGGGCGUGAUGGGGGGUGUUGAGUUGUCCCACAUCGGAGGGAUUUGAGGUCCUUGGUUUCCUUAUAU